GCCUUCGUGGUGUAAUGGUCAGCACACUGAGCCGGUCAUUCAGAGGUCCGCGGUUCGAUCCCCGGCGAAGGCG
rnacentral:tRNA from 1 species